CCAAGACCUACCCAGGCUCCGUUGCUUUGCUCCCAAAUUUGUAGCUUCACUGACUCCUGUUGCAGUCAGACCCAAGGUAUGAGCUGUCUGCGUAGGAGUGUUUCCAAGUGGUAUUUCUACAAGGCACAGUAAAGCCACUGUUCCCUUGCAGAAGGUGCUUCUGCUGCUUCAUUCUAGAGCUUAUCUAGUAAAUGCCUACAAAGUGUGAACAUAUCUGCACUGAACACCUGGAAUGGAAAGACAGCACUGGAAAGACCUUUAUUAACUGGUUCCUAAGUGUACUUAGCUUCAAUGUCAAUUUUACACACUCCCCCUGGAGCUACAUGAAAAAUGAAGUCUUGAUCAUUGCCCAGCUUUAUGGAAAUCCAAUGCGAGCAAUUAUGAGCUGAAUCCUGAGAAGGUCACGUUUGUAAGUAAGAACAAAUAAGGGAGCUCGGUGCAAGUGACUACCCUGUGAGCAGCAAAGACAAAACAAUAUGCAGACACACUCCACCACUCGCUGUCUCCGCAGUGCUUGCUGAACCGAUGCUGACAAUCACCUGCACUCCAGCAUGGCCUCCCCAUGCCAUUGCCCAGCAAGCAGUGCUCCAGGUGACAGUGGUUCUGUGACAGAAGGAGGAGUCAGGCAUGUCAAGGAGCAGGGACAGCGUGUACCCUGUAACCUGGGUGCCAUUCCAGCUGGAAAAAGAUUCUCACCCUCUCCCACGGGUCUCUCUCUCUUUGGUCUGCUUAGGCUUUUGACAGCUGUGGGAUAUGGUUACCUUUUCUGAGGGGUUUUUGGUUGCAAGCAAAAAAAUCCACAUCAUUUCAGUGCUUGUGUUGUAUUGAAUUAUUCUGGCAGGAAAGGACUUAACUGCUCCCCUUUCCUUAUUUUAUAUCACCUGUAUCUCAUUUCUGCUCUGUUAUUGCAUUUUCUUUUUUGCCUCUCUGCAUCACACCUUUAAAAUUCUCCCGUUUUUGGAAAAGUUGCCAAAAGGUAAAAAGUGAAAUAAGACAUAGCAAUUGUGCAGAAAUUGAUUCAUUCCAAAUGAAAAUGCCUUUGAUGUGGUAUGAUUUUAAAAAUAAUUUUAUUUUAUUUUAUUUUUACUAUUA